UACGGCCACUUCACGUUGGAACACCGCUUGCCGCACGAUUACCGAAGUUAAGCAACGUCGAGCUUGGAGAGUACCUAGAUGGGUGACCGCUUGGGAAUACCAUGUGCUGUAAG